AUACGUAGGGGGCAAGCGUUAUCCGGAAUUACUGGGCGUAAAGGGUGCGUAGGCGGCAAAGCAAGUCAGAGGUGUAAGGUAUUGGCUCAACCAAUGCAAGCCUUUGAAACUGCUUAGCUUGAGUGCAGGAGAGGUAAGUGGAAUUCCUAGUGUAGCGGUGAAAUGCGUAGAUAUUAGGAGGAACACCAGUGGCGAAGGCGACUUACUGGACUGUAACUGACGCUGAGGCACGAAAGCGUGGGUAGCGAACAGGAUUAGAUACCCUGGUAGUCCACGCCGUAAACGAUGAUUACUAGGUGUCGGCUGUCAAAGGUCGGUGCCGCAGCUAACGCAUUAAGUAAUCCGCCUGGGGAGUACGUACGCAAGUAUGAA
rnacentral:rRNA from 1 species